GACAGUAUGGCCGAGUGGUCUAAGGCGUUAGAUUUAAGCUCUAAUGGACAUGAAGUCCGCGUGGGUUCAAAUCCCACUGCUGUCA